CCAACCUAUCUUUUCGUCCGGGAUAACUAGCCGAAAGGGUUAGCUAAUACCUGAUAAGAUCACCGAGUGGCAUCACAUGGUGAUGAAAGCAGAAAUGCGCGGAUUGAGGGGGCUGCGGCCCAUUAGCUAGUUGGUGAGGUAAUGGCCCACCAAGGCGACGAUGGGUAGCUGGUCUGAGAGGACGACCAGCCACACUGGGACUGAGACACGGCCCAG
rnacentral:rRNA from 1 species